UUAAUAGAAACCAAAAAGAGGUAUUCCACUGUUAAUGGAAAAAUUGAAUUCACUUCCUAUUAAG
rnacentral:tRNA from 1 species